rnacentral:piRNA from 1 species
UGGAAGUCUAAUAGGAACUUGAAGGAGCCA